rnacentral:lncRNA from 1 species
GGAACCUCCUCAAGCUCCCUCCUGAGCCCUUCUCACGUGACCCUGAAAUCUUUGAUUGCUUCCGGCGCCCCAGGCCUAAUCCUGACUGGUCGGAAGGAGUCCUGGCCUGGGACGGCCCCGGGAGAGCGAGCGGCUCAGUUACCACAGAGCGGGCCCUGCAGCCGUUUGAAAAUGUUACGAACCAGUCUUAGCUCUCUGGUGGCCCCACCACAGGAGCAGGCUGGGUGUGGUCCCCACUUCCCUAGGUGUGGCCGGACGCUCUUCCAGGUGACCUCUCAGCCGAGCAUGACGAGGAUGACGGCUGAGGAGACUUCCUGCUUCCCGAGUGGCCUGCACGGCGCCACCUUUCUCCCUGGAGCACCUGCUCCCUGGGUCUGGUGCCGUUGCUAAUCGCACUUUGAAAAGUGCAGAUAACAUGCCGUGUGCCCCUU